rnacentral:lncRNA from 1 species
UUGAAUCUUCCAUUAUUAAUCCCAAAGUGUCUAACCCUCAAAUCUAUUAUCUACCUAGAAUAUGUAAUCAAAACUGAUUAAAAUAAAUCUUAGCACAACACGACACUUGUUAAAACAAAAUUUAAGACAAAUUUUUACCACUAAGUUGCAUCUGUUGACUGUUCGAGGCGAGUGGUGGUGGCGACCCUGCCUCCCAUACAGACGGCAUCAGAAUUAUAUGGACUCCCUUCUUCUUCAUCCAGUACUUGGAGAGACGUCGUGAGUGUCGCGGCAAGGCAGAACUGGAGACCGCCGCAUCAAGGCGGCGAUGGAGGUCGUGAUCCCGUAAGGCCGUGACACUGAUUGGUUUCAUAUCCAUUGCAAUUGAAACGUCAAGCACAGUCUCCGUUCAAAAAUAAUGGGCUCAUCUCAUUAUUGAUUCGACUUUACUUGUGUG